CAGCUCAUCACUCAUUACCAAUUACCAACACAAUUGCUGCAAUAUUUCGAUUUUUUGUUUUUUUUAACAAAAAUAUUCUACAUUUUAUUAUAUCUAUAAAACAUUUUGGAUGAAAAAUUAAAUAAGUGUAUUUCUCUGCAUACGUUUGUUAAAAAAAAAAACCAAUCUCCAGACUUUGAUUAAAACCAAUUAAAUCUGGGAAUAUAUUUUUUUAAUGCAAGAUAAGAACACUUUGCAGACACUGCCAUCUCGUGUCAUUCCUUUUCAAAGUGCAAGGUGUGUUUUAUCUUCUCCUUGCAUUCAAAAAAAGAUGCUGCAAUAAAACAGUGUAGCAGAAAGGAGAGGAAAUGGCAGAAUAGCUCUUUAAACCUUGGCAGGAGCGGAAGGAGAUCAUUCAGAGACACCUGUGAGCCGGGGGAGGGGAGCAGUAACAAUGGCUGCAUGGAGGAGAAAAGAAAAGCGGACAUAUUUAAGCAGUUUAAUCUGUCCGCUAAAAGAAAAUUACUUUAGCAAAGUACGUAUUACAAGUUGUGAGGCUGUUGUUUCAUGAAGCGCUUGGAUUUCCUGGACUCUCCUGCAGAACCACGUGCUGCUGGGGGAACGCCGAUCACCGAGCAGAAAAUCCAUGACAUGAACUGGGAGGUCUUCAGGAGCCCGUUUGGAACGACUCUUUAAUGUUCACCAGUCGCAAGGAUUCUUUUUAGGGAACUUUUAAAAUCCAGCCGUGUGUCAACAGGAAGCAGAAUCAGUCUCCAUACUGAAGACACACAGAAUCAAUCAAAGACAUCUCCUUCCUGUGAAGCUAUGAGUCGAGACUCUCCGUGAUGCAAAGUGAAGAAGGAUUCUGGCUUCAGGCCUUUCUGUUCCAGAGCCUCUCGGAGACGAACCGGUGGCUCCAGGUAGUACUGAAGGAAACGGGACCAGAGAAAAAGCGAGAGCAAAGGUUCCCCAGUGAAUGGCCACGGACUGUUUGGCCUGAAGGUCUUGGUGAACCUGAACAGCCUCUUCUGGAUCUACAUGCUGCCCCUGCAUCAUAUCCCUGAAAAUCCAAAAGACGACAUUGUCUUGCAUGUCUGUGAAACUUCAACAUACAAUAAACAAAUAGAAUCUCUGUUGCAAUCCAAAAACAACACCUGGGCAUGUAAGCUCCGAUGGGGAUUGCUGCGAGAUCAAACGGUCCAAAGCGUCGUCCGAUCUCCUGGAAGGAAGCGCAGUAGCCGGUAUCUCCAGCGAAGAAGAAUCGAUGGUCUGGACCCAAAAUAGACCAGC